rnacentral:rRNA from 1 species
GAUGAACGCUGGCGGCGUGCUUAACACAUGCAAGUCGAACGGAAAGGCCCAAGCUUGCUUGGGUACUCGAGUGGCGAACGGGUGAGUAACACGUGGGUGAUCUGCCCUGCACUUCGGGAUAAGCCUGGGAAACUGGGUCUAAUACCGGAUAGGACCACUUCUUGGAUGUUGUGGUGGAAAGUUUUUUCGGUGUGGGAUGAGCUCGCGGCCUAUCAGCUUGUUGGUGGGGUAAUGGCCUACCAAGGCGUCGACGGGUAGCCGGCCUGAGAGGGUGUACGGCCACAUUGGGACUGAGAUACGGCCCAGACUCCGACGGGAGGCAGCAAGGGGGAAUAUUGCACAAUAGGCGCAAGCCUGAUGCAGCGACGCCGCGUGGGGGAUGACGGCCUUCGGGUUGUAAACUCCUUUCGCUAGGGACGAAGCGUUUUUGUGACGGUACCUGGAGAAGAAGCACCGGCUAACUACGUG